ACUGUAAGAAAUGAUUCUGUGGUGAUGUAGAUUUGAAUUAAUGUUUUUGGUUAAAAUGUAUUCAAUAUAAUUGUGUUUUUGAUUUUGAGGCAAGUAUUUAAUUAAAUUUCAAAUAAAAUGUUUGGAAUAAAAACCACCCAUUGUUGUUAAUUAAAACUUAAGCAUUUUUAUUAAUUUAAUUCAAAUAAAAAUGUUUGGAAUAAAAACCACCCAUUGUAGUUAAAUGAAACUUAAGCUUUUUUAUUAAUUUAAUUCCAAAUGGAGAGAAUAUUGAGUGAAUUCAAAUUAAUGUAAUCAGGCAAAAGCACUUCCUGUCAAAGUGCACCAGACGGCGGAAGAGAUACGUUAAGCUGCCUACAGACGGUGAAUGUUCGUCGUCUUCCACUUGCUCAUCUUGCAGCUGGUUGACUAAGGACACUGAGAACUUGAAGGAACAGUUCAUAAUGGCCAUUACUCUGACCCCAAAACCUGAAGCUUCUACAAGCAACUACCCAAAGAACAUUGGAAUCGUCAUCACAGUACUUGGAAAUAUUGCAGCGGCCUUGCUCUGUCCUCCUUGGCUUGACCUACGCGCUGAAUCUCGAUUAUCACCUUUGUACACCUUUGAGGUAUUCCAAAAACGUUUCUUGGAACUGGAUCAACAAAGUCCAAUCCCUCUAGAGCAAACUUUAGGCUUGAAAUGAGACUGUAUUGCAGUGCAGACUUUUGUGCUAUGUCUUACUUGAGAAUUGCACAUUGAUGUUUGUAAGUUAGUACUGAUUUUUCCCACGAAUGUCAUGACAUUUCAAUUGUUGUAAGUUCAAAGUACAAAUGUAUUUUACUCUGUACAAAUUGCACUUUAAAGGUCCCAUUCUUCUCGAUUCCAUUUUUUAAACUUUAGUUAGUGUGUAAUGUUGCUGUUAGAGCAUAAAUAAUACCUGUAAAAUGAUAAACUUCAUAGAGCAAGUAAGUCAAUCGGGCCGUUUUUUGGACAGUGAAAACAGCAGUAUACAGAUAAGUAAAUUGUGUGAAAAAUACAGUGUUUUUUACACGCGAAACAUGAACACAAUCAAAGCUUAAAAAAAAACAUGGAGAACGGGACCUUUAAGGAUUUAUGGAGUAUUUAUGGAGUAUUUUUAUUUUAAGAUCUUUAUUGACCCAAUUUAGUGGCUAUGUGAGGUGAAAAAGCAUGGAAACAGGUUUAUGGACACGUGUAUGGCAUUUAUUUUUGUUUUUACUAAAUAGUUUGAAGUCAGUAUUAUGUCCUUUUUAAAUGUCUGGUUUGAAAUGCAAGAUCCUACUUUUGUCUUGAAAUGAGACUGUGAAUGCAGUGUACAAUGAUGUGCUACAAUGCGUUGAAAGCACAAAAGUGAAUUGUUAAUAAAAUUCUCAUUUGAGUAUUUGUUAA